UACAGAGGUCUCAAGCGUUGUUCGGAUUCAUUGGGCGUAAAGGGCGCGUAGGCGGCGGGGUAAGUCGGGUGUGAAAUCUCAGAGCUCAACUCUGAAACUGCACUCGAUACUGCUCUGCUUGAGGACUGGAGAGGAGACUGGAAUUCACGGUGUAGCAGUGAAAUGCGUAGAUAUCGUAAGGAAGACCAGUGGCGAAGGCGGGUCUCUGGACAGUUC
rnacentral:rRNA from 1 species